AAAAGAAAGAAAAAACAAAAAGAGAAGUCAUACAGUCUGUCUGGUACAGUCUGUCUGUUUGCUUCGGGCCCCCUUCCAUCUCUCUGAUUGUCGGUGCUGUCUUUGUUUAUCCGAAUGAAGUUGGUCUUGCUUUAUUCUUGCUUUGAAAUGAAAAGGAAAGAAAA
rnacentral:ribozyme from 11 species